CCUACGGGAGGCUGCAGUGGGGAAUCUUGCGCAAUGCGCGAAAGCGUGACGCAGCAACACCGCGUGAGGGAAGACGGCCUUCGGGUUGUAAACCUCUUUCAGGAGGGACGAAGGGCGACCGGUGAACAGCCGUGCCGCUUGACGGUACCUCCAGAAGAAGCUCCGGCUAACUACGUGCCAGCAGCCGCGGUAAUACGUAGGGAGCAAGCGUUGUCCGGAAUCAUUGGGGGUAAAGCGCGCGUAGGCGGCUAAAAGUCAACGGCUCAACUGUUGAAAGCCGGUGGAUACUGUCGGGCUAGAGUACGGAAGAGGCAAGUGGAAUUCCUGGUGUAGCGGUGGAAUGCGCAGAUAUCAGGAGGAACACCUAUAGCGAAGGCAGCUUGCUGGGACGUUACUGACGCUAAGGCGCGAAAGCGUGGGGAGCGAACAGGAUUAGAUACCCCUGUAGUC
rnacentral:rRNA from 1 species